ACUUUAGCAUAUUUUUUAGAUUAAUUUUGUCAUAAAUACCUGAAGGUAGCAUUUAAUAUAAAAUUAAAUGCUACCUUUGGAUAUUGGUAGAUAUCAUUCAUAUGACAUCUUAUCAUUUGUGUUAUUAUUAAGAUGAUAAUUGGCAGACUUAUAUAUCAAUAAUCAUGCAAUAUAACUUGAUUAUUAGUGUCAUUGAUAUCAAAUCAUUGAUUCAUUUUCCUUUAAAAAGUAUCCAGCAACAAAUUGAAUAGUUUUCUUGGUAAAAAAAAGAACUAGACAGAGCAAUUUCUGAAGUAAGCAGAGAAGUUGGAAUGAAUUGGAGACAUUUAGCCGUUUGUCUCAAGAUAAAAGAAAGCGAAAUUUCAAAUAUUAAGAAGAAAUUUCAAAAUGAAGACGAAAAAGCUGCAAUGGAAAUACUCCAAAUAUGGAAAUCGCAAAAUAGAAAGAAAAAAUCGGAUGAUCUGAUUAAAAUUUUGGUAGAAAAUCUUCGAAAUAGAAUAAUUUAUCUAGAUGAUUUAGCUGAUGAAAUUGAAGUCGAAUAUUUAUCAUGAAUUCUCGUCGUGUAUAUAUUUAUUAAUUAAAAAUGAAUCUGCAUAAUUUUUAAAAAUUGUUUAUACACUUUGUUAAAAAUAUUCGAGCAUUUAUAAAAUUUUUCCAUAUUUUUUUGUACUUCGUUAUAUUAUUAUUUUAUCUGAAAAUGACUCAAACAUAUGUAAUAUGCUUUAAAUUAAUGAUUGAAUAAACAUAUUGAAAUGCUCA